rnacentral:rRNA from 1 species
CCUACGGGUGGCAGCAGUGAGGAAUAUUGGUCAAUGGGCGCGAGCCUGAACCAGCCAAGUCGCGUGAGGGAGUACUGCCCUAUGGGUUGUAAACCUCUUUUGUCGGGGAGAAAAAGCCGGACGUGUCCGGCUGUGAGAGUACCCGAAGAAAAAGCAUCGGCUAACUCCGUGCCAGCAGCCGCGGUAAUACGGAGGAUGCGAGUGUUAUCCGGAUUUAUUGGGGUUAAGGGGUGCGUAGGCGGUUUUUUAAGUUAGUGGUUAAUCGUCGGGGCUUGACCUUGAUUUGCCAUUAAUACUGGAAGACUCGAGUUCAGACGAGGUAGGCGGAAUAAGAUAAGUAGCGGUGAAAUGCUUAGAGAUAACGUAGAACACCGAUAGCGAAGGCAGCUUACCAGACUGCGACUGACGCUGAAGCACGAGAGCGUGGGUAGCGAACAGGAUUAGAUACCCGGGUAGUC